AUGUCGACUUGGAGGUUGUGCCCUUGAGGCGUGGCUUCCGGAGCUAACGCGUUAAGUCGACCGCCUGGGGAGUACGGCCGCAAGGUUAAAACUCAAAUGAAUUGACGGGGGCCCGCACAAGCGGUGGAGCAUGUGGUUUAAUUCGAUGCAACGCGAAGAACCUUACCUGGUCUUGACAUCCACGGAAGUUUUCAGAGAUGAGAAUGUGCCUUCGGGAACCGUGAGACAGGUGCUGCAUGGCUGUCGUCAG
rnacentral:rRNA from 1 species